GGCGAGUUGAACGCACACAUCACAAAGUAGUUUCUGAGAAUGAUUCUCUCUUGUUUUUCUACGAAUAUAUGUCCUUUUCUACCAUUGGCCUCAAAGCGAUUGAAAUCUGCACCUGGAAAUUCCACAAAAAGAGUGUAUCAAAUCUGCUCUGUCAAAAGGAAGUUUCAAUUCUGCUAGUUGAAUAAAUAUAACACAAAUAAGUUUCUGAGAAUUCUUCUGUCUAACAUUAUAUGAAGAAAUCCCGUUUCCAACGAAGGCCUCAAAGGUGUCCAAAUAUCCACUGGCAAACUUUACAAAGAGAGUGUUUCCAAACUGCUCAAUCAAAAGAAAGGUUAAACUCUGUGAAUUGAAUGCACACAUCACAAAGUAGUUUCUGAGAAUGAUUCUGUCUACUUUUUAUACGAAGAUAUUUCCUUUUCUACUUUUGGCCUAUAAGCGCUUGAAAUCUCCAACUUCAAAUAUCACAGAAAGAGUGUUUCACAUCUGCUCCAUUGAAAAGAAGGUUCAACUCUGUGAGUUGAAUACACAGGACACAAAGAAGUUACUGAGAAUUCUUUGUCCAGCAGUAUAUGAAGAAAUCCCGUUUCCAACGAAGGCCUCAAAGAGGUCCAAUUUUCCACGUGCAGAUAUUAAAAAGAGAGUGAUUCUAAACAGCACUAUGAAAAGAAAUGUUAAACUCUGUGAGUUGAACGCUCACAUGACAAAGUAGUUUCUCAGAAUGAUUCUGUCUAGAUUUUAUACGAAGAUACUACGUUUUCUACCCUUGGCCUGAAAGCGCUUGAAAUCUCCACGUGCAAAUAUCACAAAAAGAG
rnacentral:lncRNA from 10 species